UACGUAGGCAGCGAGCGUUGUUCGGAAUUACUGGGCGUAAAGAGUGUGUAGGCGGUGCUCUAAGUUCGGUGUGAAAUCUCCUGCUUAACUGGGAGGGUGCGCCGGAAACUGGAGUGCUCGAACGUGGGAGAGGAAAGCGGAAUUCCUGGUGUAGCGGUGAAAAUGCGUAGAUAUCAGGGAGGAACACCUGCGGUGUAGACGGCUUUUCUGGACCUUUGUUUGACGCUGAGACACGAAAAGCGUGGGGUAGCAAAACAGGG
rnacentral:rRNA from 1 species